UACGUAGGGUGCAAGCGUUGUCCGGAAUUAUUGGGCGUAAAGAGCUCGUAGGCGGUUUGUCGCGUCGACUGUGAAAACCCGAGGCUUAACCUCGGGCCUGCAGUCGAUACGGGCAGACUAGAGUUCGGUAGGGGAGACUGGAAUUCCUGGUGUAGCGGUGAAAUGCGCAGAUAUCAGGAGGAACACCGGUGGCGAAGGCGGGUCUCUGGGCCGUUACUGACGCUGAGGAGCGAAAGCGUGGGGAGCGAACAGG
rnacentral:rRNA from 1 species